rnacentral:piRNA from 1 species
UUCAAUCUGCCAAAGCGAUCAGUUUGCA